UUUAUAACGACUUGAAUGCAAGAAUCAUCACAUUGAAUGCUGCGAAAUCUUUGCUGGAAACCAAUAUCAGUGCCAUUUCUGGUGAGCGAGAUGAACUACAGUCACGUCUUUGCAAACUCGAAUCACCUGACAUGAAGAGAAUUAAAAAUCAUGCAGUUGAAGUGACUCUAGAUCCUGACACAGCACAUCCUAAACUCGAUCUCUCCACUGACGGGAAACAAGCAAAAGUUGGACAGAGAAGACCAGCUAUCCUGAAGACCUCUAAGAGGUUUUGGACCUAUACAUGUGUUCUGGGGAAAGAAGGCUUCUCCUCUGGUAAAUUCUACUAUGAGGUACAAGUUCUGGGGAAAAGUAAUUGGGAUAUAGGAGUGGUCAGAGAGUCCAUCAACAGGGAUAACCUGACUCUGUCUCCUCAGGAGGGAUUCUGGACAAUAUGGCUGCGUAAUGGGACUAAGUAUGCAGCAAUAGAUAGUCCCCUUGUUCCCCUCUCCCUGAAAGAGAAGCCCCAGAGGGUGGGGGUGUUUGUGGAUUAUGAGGCAGGUCUGGUCUCCUUUUAUGAUGCAGACUAUUGGUAUCAUAUGUACUCUUUUAGAGAUGUCACUUUCCGUGAGAAAAUCUAUCCAUAUUUCUAUGUUGGUGGUCAAGAUUCAAUCCCAAUGACCAUAAAUCCUGUAGUUAAGUGCAUGUCAACAGUGUAAGAGACAACUUAUUUUGAUACAUUAUUGUAAUACACUUGAGUCCACCCCGGGUUCAAGUCCGGCCCAGGUCAUUUCACGAUCCUACCCUAUCGCUCUCAUACUCGCUUCCUGUAACUCUCUCCACUAUCCUGUCAGAUUAGAUUCAGACUUUUGCUGUAUGGUGGUAUUGGUUAAAGGUGAUGUAAGAAACCUACCAUAAAUGAUAUACUCUCCUUUAUUUCUUUAUGUUUACUGUAGUUGUGCUUUAGCUUAGGACCUUAUCACCAUUCUUAUUUUGAGUGUUUUCAAAUAAAAUUAUAUA